rnacentral:sRNA from 1 species
CUUAAUAUCCAGAAAUUAAAAAUUCCAGUCUUCGAGGUAUACAAAAACAUACAUCACUAAAAUUACUCGGUGUAGAGAAACAUAUGCUGCACUAAGAUUACUCGACAUUCAGAAACAUAUACAGCACUAAACUUACUCUUCCCACAAGUAAAGCUCAACAAGAAGAUUAAAAAAAUUGUUUAAAUAUACAAAAAGGUGAAGGUCUCAUUUGAGUCAAAUGAACAGAAGCUGGAUAUAUAAGAAGAAGAAAAGAGAGAUACAUUACAAAGACAGACAUAAUUUCAAGGGAGUGAAGUUUUUUUUUAAAACCAAGUUCGAACAGAAACACGGUGCACAUGUCAUUGCAAUCUAAACGCAUGAGAUGGGCGGGGUUACAAACGUGUUUAUGACAUACACGGAAACACUGAAAUGUGGUGAUCAUAUAGACUUGACAGGCCUGGAUGACAUCAACAUCAGAACUCUUCAAUGGAGUAGACAGUUUAUCUUCCCCUUCAUACAUCUAGAUAUUAAUUCAAACAGAGAUAUGCGCUGAGCCUAAAUGUUACUACAAAGAUAAUCGACUUCCCAGAAAAUGAUCAUGUUAUGAGAUAUAUGCAAUGAAAGGUCACACACGAAAUA